rnacentral:ncRNA from 2 species
GACGAAGGUGGCGACCGUUGUUCGGAAUUACUGGGCAUAAAGCGCACGUAGGCGGCAAUGUAAGUCAGGUGUGAAAUCCCUCGGCCCAACCGAGGAAUUGCGCUUGAGACUGUGUUGCUUGAGGGCAGGAGGGGAGCGUGGAAUUCCUGGUGGAGCGGUGAAAUGCGUUGAUAUCAGGAGGAACACCGGCGGCGAAGGCGACGCUCUGGCCUGUUUCUGACGCUGAGGUGCGAAAGCCAGGGGAGCAAACGGG